GAUGAACGCUGGCGGCGUGCCUAAUACAUGCAAGUCGAGCGAACAGAUAAGGAGCUUGCUCCUUUGACGUUAGCGGCGGACGGGUGAGUAACACGUGGGUAACCUACCUAUAAGACUGGGAUAACUUCGGGAAACCGGAGCUAAUACCGGAUAACAUUUGGAACCGCAUGGUUCUAAAGUGAAAGAUGGUUUUGCUAUCACUUAUAGAUGGACCCGCGCCGUAUUAGCUAGUUGGUAAGGUAACGGCUUACCAAGGCAACGAUACGUAGCCGACCUGAGAGGGUGAUCGGCUACACUGGAACUGAGACACGGUCCAGACUCCUACGGGAGGCAGCAGUAGGGAAUCUUCCGCAAUGGGCGAAAGCCUGACGGAGCAACGCCGCGUGAGUGAUGAAGGGUUUCGGCUCGUAAAACUCUGUUAUUAGGGAAGAACAAAUGUGUAAGUAACUGUGCACGUCUUGACGGUACCUAAUCAGAAAGCCACGGCUAACUACGUG
rnacentral:rRNA from 1 species